AAGCCUGAUCCAGCCAUGCCGCGUGAGUGAUGAAGGCCUUAGGGUUGUAAAGCUCUUUUAGCAGGGAAGAUAAUGACGGUACCUGCAGAAAAAGCCCUGGCUAACUUCGUGCCAGCAGCCGCGGUAAUACGAAGGGGGCUAGCGUUGCUCGGACUUACUGGGCGUAAAGCGCACGUAGGCGGACUCUUAAGUCGGCGGUGAAAUCCUGGAGCUCAACUCCAGAACUGCCUUCGAUACUGGGAGUCUUGAGUUCGGGAGAGGUGAGUGGACCUGCGGGUGUAGAGGUGAAAUUCGU
rnacentral:rRNA from 1 species